rnacentral:rRNA from 1 species
AACGAACGCUGGCGGCAUGCCUAACACAUGCAAGUCGAACGAGACCUUCGGGUCUAGUGGCGCACGGGUGCGUAACGCGUGGGAACCUGCCCUUAGGUUCGGAAUAACUCCCCGAAAGGGGUGCUAAUACCGGAUAAUGUCUUCGGACCAAAGAUUUAUCGCCUUUGGAUGGGCCCGCGUUGGAUUAGCUAGUUGGUAGGGUAAAAGCCUACCAAGGCGACGAUCCAUAGCUGGUCUGAGAGGAUGAUCAGCCACACUGGGACUGAGACACGGCCCAGACUCCGACGGGAGGGAGGAGUAGGGAAUAUUGGAGAUUGGGCGGAAGGCUGAGCCAGCGAUGACGCGUGAGUGAUGAAGGGCUUAGGGUUGUAAAGCUCUUUUAGCCGGGAUGAUAAUGACAGUACCGGGAGAAUAAGCUCCGGCUAACUCCGUG